CCCAGACCAGAGGCCUCUGGACAGCUGCCGCCACCAUGCUGGCCAACAGAUGAUGGGUUCGUAGGCUCGAUUACAGAGUCAUAAUGGUGAAGAGGAUGGUGACAUCCAAGGACAACCACAGGGCCUCUGUCUCAACCCUGGUGAGAACCAGAUUCCUCCCCGCUGGUUCUAUAGCUCCCAGCAGAGUUCUGGAAGCUGAUUAAAGAGAAGAUCAGAAAUAACAGAUCACUGGCGCUGGGGGACACCCCAGCUGCCAUGUUGUCGGAGAAGCUCAGGUGAAGAGAAACCACUGCUUCUUGCUAAAAACUACCCGAGUGAUCUUGGAAGUGGCUUCUCCAGCCCCAGCCCAGCCUUCCGUGGACUGCAGCUCCAGCUGACAUCUAGACUGUAAGAUCUGCUCUCUACCCAAUCUGCUUCUAAAUUCUUGACCCAUAGAAACUGUAAGGAAAAGGGAAAUAACUCUUUGA